rnacentral:rRNA from 1 species
AAACACGGACCAAGGAGUCUAGUUUAUGCGCGAGUCAAAGGGCUCACUAAACCCCGAGGCGAAACGAAAGUGAACGCUCGGGCGAGGGAGGCGGUAGGGGCUGUUCUUCAGCCUCUUCUUCUUCCAUUCGCCCGUGUUGGGCCGAUCCGGUUCGGGUGGUAACUCCCCGAUUUACCUCACUUUUUGGGAGGCCGGCGCAGGCCCGGGGCUCGUUGCGCUCUUUCACCUUUUUGAACGCGCGGUCGGCUUUCGCGAUAUGCGAGUAGGUGAAUCGACAAUAUUAUUAUCACAUUAUGUUGUCCCGAAAGCUUCGAUCGCCUAGCCGCGCGGAAGGGUUAGGGCGGCGAGUACCUCGAGCGCAUAACCUAGUACCCGAAAGAUGGUGAUCUAAGCCUGGCCAGGAUGAAGCCAGAGGAAACUCUGGUGGAAGUCCGAAGCGGUUCUGACGUGCAAAUCGAUCGUCAGAGC